GGGGCCGUCAUGGUUUUGACGGAGGAUAGCAGACUGGUAGUUGCAGUGGGGUGGCGACCCUAAAAGCCAACCAACAAGAACUGACAACAGUUUCCUUUAUGCGAACCGCGCCCCGCGCGUUUCGCUUGCCCGCGCUUAAUUAAGCUCCGAAAUAGGAUUCCCUCUGGGAACGGACACAUCCCCCUCAAUCGUUCGUCACGGUUGGGGUGUGGGUGUAACAAAUUGACGAUAAGCCCCGCUUAAUGGCCUAAACGCGGGGACGAAAACCCAUUGGCCUCGCUUGGCGGACUCGGCAUGGUCAUGCCGCCAAGUCAGACUGCGACGUAUGCCUAAACUGUAGGCGCUAUCAGGAGGCGUUCUUCGGACCGGGGUUCGACUCCCCGCGACUCCACCA
rnacentral:tmRNA from 1 species